rnacentral:lncRNA from 1 species
CCCCACAGGAAGAACAAUAUCAACAAACAGACCCCCCAGAGAUCCCAGGGACUAAAUCACCAACCACAGAGUACACAUGGAUGGACCCAUGACUCCAGCCACAUAUGCAGUAGAGGAUGGGCCUUGUGGGGCAUCAAUGGGAGAAGACGCCCUUUAGUGAAGAGUAAACACCCCAGUGUAGGGAAAUGCCAGGGCCAGGAGGCAGAAGGGAGUGGGUGGGUGGGUGAGGGCGUGCCCUCAUGGAGGCAGGGGUGGGGGAUGGGAUGGGAGGGGUUUUCCCAAGAGGAAACCAGGAAAGAUUUGAUAUGUAAAUAACAAAAUUAUCCAAUAAAAGCAAAGAAA